CGACAACGCGCUCUGGGAUCUACGCACAGAGUCGCUUCAGCCGCGCCUUCCGGGUAAACUGUGUCCAUUGAAAAUACAAACGGCGGAAAAGGCAGCUCCACAGCCGAGGCCGCAAAGCGACAAACACUGCCAGCGUCAAAAUCGCAACGCACCGUGCGAUGAAGCAGGUCGGGCGUGGCGAAGGUGAAAGUGGAGGAGCAACUCGUGUACUCAACUCACGGGCGACCGUGGCAGCAAGUUAUCCUCUCCGUAGAACUACGAUUUACGAUGCCCUCCGCAGCUGUUUUGCCACCCCGCCGGAUUCGCCACGGGUUGAAAUCGCUGGUCAAGCGCGGUUGUCGCACCGCUCGCGGAAAACCGGAAUAUCUGCGUUUCAAAGAUGGUGGUUGACUGCACACCUGCGAAUGUUUUCUACUUUUGAAGUACCUGACAACUCCAGUCGAAAGCGGAGGUCACCACAAACUGCUGCACAAGGGGGGCGCCAGCAGAAAGAAGGAAAACCCGUCUGCUGCGGGUCACUUCUGUCGGGAGAUGUACGGUGAUUGGAGCAGUUGCGCAGAGACACACACAUCGCUGGCUCUGUGCGUCCGUUCUUGGCAGUGCAUCGAAAUUGAAGAACACAGAAACGGGAAAAUGGAGGGGCCAGUCGUCCGUCGAUGGAUUCACGUGCAGAAAUGCAUUCCGGCAAUGGGUAACGGCGUCGGGCACUCGCGGCGGCGUUCUGGUUGCCUUGACGCAACCCCGUUCUGUGCAAAUGCACGGUGACACGAAAGUUGGCGGUGGGGCGGGCAGCAGAGUCUGUCAACCGGGUGUCCCCGUGAGGGGUACCACCCGUUGGAUUCCGGGCAUUUUCGUUCUCUGCAGAAAGGGAAGCCACGAAAGGGGGAGGUUUGUGGGAAACGGAGAACGAUCAAGCGGAAAUUCCGAGUAGAAACUGUUGUGAGAGACGAAGAUGGUGGUUUGGGGUCCCUGCAAUGACACAGAAAGAGCAUCGGGAAAGUCGAACCGAAAAAGCCGUCUCCGCCCGGGCUGAUGCCCACUUGUGGACUAGCAGCAGGUUGGAGGCCAGCACGGGGAGAGGGGGAAGGAAUCUGAGGCGCGAACCUCGUUGCAUAGUCGCUUUUAUCGUCAGAUAUCUUCGUACUUAUCGCUGCUGUAUAACCCCAUUAACGGCUAGACACGCCUUACUCUCCUUUGCCCGUUGCCCGUGCUCACGGUUGCAUAUCGAGUGUCUCCGGGCGCCACUCUGACUCCUGCAGAAAGAUAAACUGAAGAACGAUGGAAAUGUAUUUUUUCCAGUGUAACAGUUUUGACUCGCAAGAUUUUAGCAAGCACAAGUGACAGAAAGCCUUGCUGUUCAGGCGGGGGGUGGGGCCAUAAUUUUCUAGCAGGCACCUUCCUUGUUUUGGGAAGCGCAGCUGGUGACCAACCGGGGGGGCCUGCGGCAGUCGAAAAGAAGAGGCACGUCUCCGUCCCGGAGCAGGCGCGCGCACGGGCAAAACAAGUCGAAUUCCGUGCAACGACAACAACAACAAUGUUACUACGCGGAAACGGGCUUUUCUCUACGAUAUAUGGGAAGCCUGGAAUCAGAUCAGA
rnacentral:lncRNA from 1 species